AUAGCGUAUAUUAAAGUUGUUGCAGUUAAAAAGCUCGUAGUUGAAGUUCUGGCUGUUCGAUCCUCGCGCUCUGGAGCCGAGGAAUCGACAGUCAUCCGCUUGCAAAUAUAUGUUCGCCUUUAACCGGGCGGCUAUAUGAGUAAGCAUUUUACCUUGAGAAAAACAGAGUGUUCCAGGCAGGUUUGUCCGGAAUGCGUUAGCAUGGAAUAAUAGAAUAUGACUGAAGUCGAUUUAUUGGUUUGAGGCUUUAGUAAUGAUUAAUAGGAACAGUCGGGGGCAUUGGUACUUGAAAGUCAGAGGUGAAAUUCUAGGAUUUGUCAAAGACUAACUACUG
rnacentral:rRNA from 1 species